AGCGGCGAUACCGGCGCAAUUCCAGAGAGAGUUCCUGGAGAGCUUUUUGCUGGCCUGGUUUCCGGAAAUGUCAGAGAUGGAGAUAUCACCGGGAGGUACAGAGGGGUCGACGCGGACGGAGACAAAGUCUCCAAGGCCGUCGACGGCGCAACCCAAGAAGUCGAAGCCCGGGCCGAGGUUGGCAAUGGAGGCCGGGGCAAAGGAUCUCACGGAGAUGUAGACGGGUUGGGAUCAGUGGUGGUGAUGCUGGGGAAAGAGAAGUUGCAGCGGAGUGUGCUUCAUCAAAAU
rnacentral:misc_RNA from 1 species